AACGAACGCUGGCGGCAGGCCUAACACAUGCAAGUCGAACGCCGUAGCAAUACGGAGUGGCAGACGGGUGAGUAACGCGUGGGAACAUACCCCUCGGUUCGGAAUAACUUAGGGAAACUUGAGCUAAUACCGGAUACGUCCGAGGUUUUAACCGGCCUCGGAGAAAGAUUUAUCGCCGGAGGAUUGGCCCCGCGUCUGAUUAGCUUGUUGGUGAGGUAAUGGCUCACCAAGGCGACGAUCAGUAGCNGGUCUGAGAGGAUGAUCAGCCACAUUGGGACUGAGACACGGCCCAAACUCCUACGGGAGGCAGCAGUGGGGAAUAUUGGACAAUGGGCGAAAGCCUGAUCCAGCCAUGCCGCGUGAGUGAUGAAGGCCUUAGGGUUGUAAAGCUCUUUUACCCGGGAAGAUAAUGACGGUACCGGGAGAAUAAGCCCCGGCUAACUUCGUGCCAGCAGCCGCUGUAA
rnacentral:rRNA from 1 species